rnacentral:tRNA from 1 species
GCCCCCGUAGCUCAGUGGAUAGAGCAACCGCCUCCUAAGCGGUAGGUCGCAGGUUCAACUCCCGCCGGGGACA